rnacentral:lncRNA from 1 species
AUUAUUCAAGAACACUCUCUAGGUUUCAAAAUAAAAACCCAAGUAGUUCAAGAUUCAAUCGUGGGUUUUCAAAACCAAUUGAAGAUUUGGAAUCCCCGCAACGCAGGCUUCAAGAAACACCUAUCAUCUUCGCAUAUAGAGGUACGCGGGGUUAUCCUAAAAAAAAUCUCAUGGGCUUUAAAAAAAUUUAUGUUUUCAAAUGGGGGUUUUGAAAUUACGAAUAUGAUUAUGUUUUAAACAUUUUAUGACUGACCUCAAGAAUCUCCUUCAUGUGUCAUUAUCACUGACCUCAAGCGUUGGCGGAAAGUUUUGGAGCCCAAACUGAACUGUUCAUCAGUGAAAUUGAAACUCACUCGUCUAUCCUUCCAACGGGAAGAUUGAAAUCGGUUAGCAUUUCCCUUCACUGCCAGCAUAAACUUUUCUUCUCUACUCUUAUUCAAACAAAAGUGAAGCACUACAUCAUGAACCUGGCAGUAUUUGACUUUUCCGUUGUAGCUUCUGCCUGAAACCAUCACCACGUUACUGCUAAUGAGAUCAUUCAAGAAACCUUCGGCUGUCUCUUCCAAUCUCCCAGAUUCUUCAAUAUUCUGCACGAAGCAUAUCGCUAUCCAUAAACUUAUCAAUUCAGAUACUGGAAUGCUUGCGUCCUCCGGAAACAUCCCCAUGUAGAGAAGGCACGGUCUCAAAUGGUCAGGUAAGUUAUCAUAACUUAACUGCAUCGUCGAAAGACUAUAUCCUUCAGACUCACCGUGAUAGGAAACCAGAGAAUUUUUAACCUCAUGCCACCAAGAGGCUUCCAUUUUAUUCCUUUUGAUUAUUCCAGCAACCAAAACAAUCACCAGAGGCAAUCCUUUGCAUCUUUCCGCAACAUCUUUACUCACAUCUUGUAGCGAAGGAGGGAAACUUUCCUGUUGAAACACCUUUUUCUGCAACAACUUCCGACUGUCAUCGGGUGUGAGGAAUGGAGGAGAAUAAGGAUCAAUAUGUUGCUUGACUUGCUUAGCCACUUCCUCAAGUCGAGUUGUUAAUACUAUUCUGCUUCUAUUUCCAACGUCAGGAAACGAAAGCCUUAAGUCAUCCCAUGCCUUAACAUCCCACAUAUCAUCCAAGACAAUGAUAUAUCUCUUUCCCGUUAGGCUUUUCUUCAACCUUUCAGCAAGGAUGUCUUCCUUAUCUCCCUUAUCCUCUUUACCCAUAACUUGACUAAAAAUCUCUUGUAAUAGGUCUCUCCGGUUAUAUGAUUGGGAAAUGAUGCACCAUGCUUGAACAUCAAAAUGGUGAACAAUGCAGCCAUUAUUGUACACCUUUCUGGCAAUAGUCGUUUUCCCUUGUCCUCCCAUGCGUCCAAUUGGGACGUCAUCUAUCUCAUGGGUACCUCUAAUCAGAUACUGAAUUAUUUUUUCUGAUUCAUCCUCAAAUCCAACUAUCUCCUCAUCAUUCACAGGAUUGCUACGAUAAGUUGGAAGAUGCUUAGGGCUUAAGAGGAAGGUUCCGAAACCUCAUCUCCUUCACCUUCGCAAGAAUUUGCUUGCUCUCUUUGAUGAUUGCAGGAAGCGAGCCAAAAAAAUGCGAAAGAGCAUUACAUUGAACCAGAAUAGAGUCAAUGGAUACUUCAGCUUUGUAUGCCAACUUUACAGUGCCCCUUUGAAGAUCUUUGAGAAUUUCUUCAUCUUUAUGAUGCACCUUUGCAACAUCUCUGAAAAAAGAUGUUAGAUACGAAAGAUCUUCAUCUAAAGUUCCAAUAUAGGGUUUCAUCAUGAAAUCUGAACUUGAUUCAGAUUUCAACAUAUCAUUCAAUUUCCUUAAAAAAGAAUCAAGAAAGCUCAAUCCACCAACUGUGGGGAACUCAUUAGAUGGACUGUAUUUUAAGGAUUUGUACUUCUCUUCCGCAUCUGCCUUUAGAUCUUCAAUUUUCUCCAAUAUUUGUAUCAUAGCAUCAUCAAUCUUGUUGGCGUCUUCUUUGAUUACACAUAGUAUGUCACCCACAACAACUCCAAUCUUUGCUAAGACUUCAUUCAACCUCUUGCCUUUAAUAACAUGAUUUGGCACAUCACAGAGAAAAACCAACAAGAACUCUAUCACCACAUCAAUGUUUCGAGCAGAUGCAAAGUUCUUAAGCUUCUUAUUUCUAAGAUACACCAGAAAACUGUUGAGAUGAUGUGAAAAUCCUUUUGGUAAUUUCUUUUCCCUGAAAGUUUUUGAUUGAGUAAACUUUGAAGCCUUUAGUUCACCAUGAAAAAUCUUCUUCAUUUCCAGCUUCACUAAUACAAUCAGGCAUAAACAGUAAGACACAAGCGUAUGAUCUUCAUCACCAAAAAGAGAAAGAAGUGUCCCACAUUUUCAGCCAUUAACUGAAUUUGGGUCCGCAAACCUUUCAAUUUCUCAUGGCCGACGCAACCAUUUAUCUCUGUGCCAUAUAAGUAUCUUAGAAACCUCAUUCUCUUUUGAAUGUAGCUCAACUGCUUCUUAAGGAUUUUCACUUCCUUUGUCAUAUCAGGAUCAGGCGGACCGGAUAGAAGCCUCAGCGAAUCAUUUAGAUUCUUGUCGAGGUAAUCCAUAUAUUUCAUCGGAUCAGAAUCAUCC